rnacentral:rRNA from 1 species
UAGGGAAUCUUCCACAAUGGACGCAAGUCUGAUGGAGCAACGCCGCGUGAGUGAAGAAGGUUUUCGGAUCGUAAAGCUCUGUUGUUGGUGAAGAGGGACGGCAGUAGCAACUGGCUGUCGUUUGACGGUAAUCAACCAGAAAGUCACGGCUAACUACGUGCCAGCAGCCGCGGUAAUACGUAGGUGGCAAGCGUUGUCCGGAUUUAUUGGGCGUAAAGCGAGCGCAGGCGGAAAGAUAAGUCUGAAGUGAAAGCCCCCGGCUUAACCGGGGAACUGCUUCGGAAACUGUCCUUCUUGAGUGCAGAAGAGGAGAGUGGAACUCCAUGUGUAGCGGUGGAAUGCGUAGAUAUAUGGAAGAACACCAGUGGCGAAGGCGGCUCUCUGGUCUGCAACUGACGCUGAGGCUCG